rnacentral:rRNA from 1 species
GCUUACGGCCAAACCAGCCUGNNUACGCCCGAUCUCGUCCGAUCUCGGAAGCUAAGCAGGGUCGGGCCUGGUUAGUACUUGGAUGGGAGACCGCCUGGGAAUACCAGGUGCUGUAAGCUU